rnacentral:rRNA from 1 species
UACAGAGGUCUCAAGCGUUGUUCGGAUUCAUUGGGCGUAAAGGGUGCGUAGGCGGCGCGGUAAGUCGAGUGUGAAAUCUCGGAGCUUAACUCCGAAACUGCAUUCGAUACUGCCGUGCUUGAGGACUGGAGAGGAGACUGGAAUUUACGGUGUAGGGGUGAAAUGCGUAGAUAUCGUAAGGAAGACCAGUGGCGAAGGCGGGUCUCUGGACAGUUCCUGACGCUGAGGCACGAAGGUCAGGGGGGCAAACGGG